AGUGAACGCUGGCGGUAGGCCUAACACAUGCAAGUCGAACGGCAGCACAGUAAGAGCUUGCUCUUACGGUUGGCGAGUGGCGGACGGGCGAGGAAUACAUCGGAAUCUACUUUUUCGUGGGGGAUAACGUAGGGAAACUUACGCUAAUACCGCAUACGACCUACGGGUGAAAGCAGGGGAUCUUCGGACCUUGCGCGAUUGAAUGAGCCGAUGUCGGAUUAGCUAGUUGGCGGGGUAAAGGCCCACCAAGGCGACGAUCCGUAGCUGGUCUGAGAGGAUGAUCUGCCACACUGGAACUGAGACACGGUCCAGACUCCUACGGGAGGCAGCAGUGGGGAAUAUUGGACAAUGGGCGCAAGCCUGAUCCAGCCAUACCGCGUGGGUGAAGAAGGCCUUCGGGUUGUAAAGCCCUGUUGUUGGGAAAGAAAAGCAGCAGGUUAAUACCCCGCUGUUCUGACGGUACCCAAAGAAUAAGCACCGGCUAACUUCGUG
rnacentral:rRNA from 1 species